GGGGAAUAUUGGACAAUGGGCGAAAGCCUGAUCCAGCCAUGCCGCGUGAGUGAUGAAGGCCUUAGGGUUGUAAAGCUCUUUUACCGAUGAAGAUAAUGACGGUAGUCGGAGAAAAAGCCCCGGCUAACUUCGUGCCAGCAGCCGCGGUAAUACGAAGGGGGCUAGCGUUGUUCGGAUUUACUGGGCGUAAAGCGCACGUAGGUGGUGCCGCAAGUCAGGGGUGAAAUCCCAGAGCUCAACUCUGGAACUGCCUUUGAAACUGCGGUGCUGGAAUCUCAGAGGGGGUGGCGGAAUUGCUAAUGUAGGGGUGAAAUCCGUAGAUAUUAGCAGGAACACCGAUGGCGAAGGCAGCCACCUGGAUGAGUAUUGACACUGAGGUGCGAAAGCGUGGGGAUCAAAC
rnacentral:rRNA from 1 species